CUUAACCCACUGAGCGAGGCCAGGGAUCGAACCCGCAUCCUCACAGACACUACACAGUGUCUGAGCCACAAGGGGAACUCCUGUGUUUUCAUUUUUAACUAAGAGAAAAGAAAAACCGAGAAAUUUAUUUAUAAGGAUGGGACGUGUCGGGAGGAACCCAGGAGCACGAAGAGGCUGAGCCUUUAGGAGGGUCUGGGACCGGGGGUCUCCCUCUACGACCUCGUCUCUGUUCUGCCUCUGCUCCUCGCUGUCCGAGUCCGUCUCUUUCCCUCUCACCUGGCGCUGAAGGGGGGCUGCCCCGGAACACCUGCGUGGGGCCUGGUGACUCUCUUCACUCCCACUUUUUCAUUUUUAGGGGCGAGAUUCUGGCUCACUGGGGUCCCUGCCCAGGGGUCUGGGUCACACGGUCUGUGACAUCCCACGCAUGGGAUGUCUCAAGAGGAAGAGGGGGUGUCUGGCUCACCAACUGGGCCGACGCCCCCAAAGUAUUCAUCCUGAAAAGAUACCACUCAGUGCAGAGAAGAAAGGCUGAGUGAGUCCAGACUGAGCCAGAUGGAUUUGUGCUACCUUUACCGAGUGGAAGAAUUUGGGUCCCAGGAGCCUGGAGAUAAGGUUCACCUGUGAGCCUUCCCUUUAACCAGACAGCUGAGCCCAGGCUCCAGGCGUGCGUGGGCCGUUCGGCAAAGCAGACGCCCACGUGUCAGCUCCAUCAGGCAAACAGCUCUUGCUGCUCAGCUCUGAUUCUGCGUUCACGGCCACUUCCGCUCCCAGCCCCAAAUCUCAAGAGGCCUGUACACGUUUGCCUCCCAAGCUACCCCACCUAACGUGGCUGGGACCGGGCAGGUAGUGAGGCAGGGCUGACGGACAGCUCCGCAGACAGCUCCGACAGCUGGCCAUCUGCCUCGUGGUCAUGUCGGCCCCGAAGGGCACAAGCCCUCCUCUGCGGUCCCACCCGGGAGCAAGCGUGGUACGAAGACUCCAGGAGGGACUCUUCCACCUGCAAACGCUCCGAGUGAUGGAUGACACGCCUAAAUGCACGGGAAGCGGCAGCAGUGACCCAGGUGUUCUGACACUUCCGUGACAGCCUCCUGAUGCCCCAGCUCUGUGUUUGCCUCUCCAGUGACUACAGUGACUCAA